rnacentral:rRNA from 1 species
UUCUAGUGGCGGACGGGUGAGUAACGCGUGGGUAACCUGCCUCAUACAGGGGGAUAACAGUUAGAAAUGACUGCUAAUACCGCAUAAGACCACGGAGCCGCAUGGCUCAGUGGGAAAAACUCCGGUGGUAUGAGAUGGACCCGCGUCUGAUUAGGUAGUUGGUGGGGUAACGGCCUACCAAGCCAACGAUCAGUAGCCGACCUGAGAGGGUGACCGGCCACAUUGGGACUGAGACACGGCCCAAACUCC